GGGAACUUCCGGGCAAGCGUGGGAACGCUGCGAACUUCCUGGAGGCAAAAUUUGAGGGGGGCCAUGAGCGGAGAGUGAUUAGGGCGGAGCGGGCCGGGGAGACCCUGGGCGCCUCUUCUGAAAGCCGCUUCACACGUGCCCGGGUGAUGGGUGAUGCGUUGGGCCGAAAGAUAAGGAAAUGAAUUCAGAGAAGAUAAAUGAUUUGCCAAAAGUCAUAUGUGACAGAAAUGUAACUUGAAAUCAAAUUUGCAAUUUUCAGUUCCUGAUGUUUUUACACUAUGCUCCCAAAAUGAAUCUGUGGACAUACAUUUCCACUAGAGGCCAUGAACCAUGCCUGUAUAAGACUUAAUCAAUUCUUAAUGAAGACUAUGGUGUGUAUACUGACUGUUCCACUGACCUGCCAUCUCCACAUCUUUCUCCCUCUUCUCAGACCUCCCUAUUUCCCAAGAGACAACAGUAUUGAAAUUAGGCCAAUUCAUAACCUGCCAGUGGCCUCUAAGUGUUUAAGUGAAAGGAAGAUUCACACAUCUCUCACAUUAAAUAAAAAGCCAGAAAUGGUUGGUUAAACUUAGUGAGGAAGGCGUGUCAAAAGCUGAGACUGGCCAAAAACUAGGCCUCUUUUGAAAGUUAGCCAAGUUGUGAAUGCAAAGGACAUGUUCUCAAAAUUAAAAGUGCUACUCCAGUGAACACGUGAAUAAGAAAACAAAACAGCCUGUUGCUGAAACGUAAAAAGUCUGAGUCGUCUGGACAGAAGAUCAAACAAGUCACAACAUUCCCUUAAACCAAAGCCUAAUCCAGAGCAAAGUCCUAACUCUCUACAAUUCUGUGAGGACAGAGAGGUAAGGAAGCUGUGUAAGAAAAGUUUGAAGCUCGCAGAGGUUGGUUCAUGAGGUUUAGGGAAAGAAGUCAUCUCCAUAACACAAAAGCUCAAGGUGAAGCAGCAAAUGGCUGAUGUGGAAGCUGAAGUAAUUUAUUCAGAAAAUCUAGCUAAGAUAAUUGAUGGAGGUGGCUACACUAAACAAUAGGUUUUCAAUACAGACAGCCUUAUAUUGGAAGAAGGUGCUAUCUAGGACUUUCAAAGCUAAAGAGAGGUCAAUGCCCCAUUUCAAAGAUUAAAGGACAGGCUCACUCUGUUGUGAAGGACUAAUAUAGCUGGUAACUUUAAACGGAAAUGAAUGCUUAUUUACCAUUCUGAAAAUCCUGGGGCCCUUAAGAAUUAUGUGAAAUCUACUCUGCCUGGGAACUAUAAAUGGAACUGAGGAAAGAGACCCAGGUGUCUGGGAUCAACUUCCCUUUUGACUGCCGCACUGCAUUUCAAUAGAAGAAAAGGCUGAUCAACUGGCGCCUCGUGAUUCACCUUCCUGUAGGUGGCAGGCUUGGUCUUGGGAAAACUCUGGAAGACACUGUUUUUACUUAAAACAAGAUCAAACCCCAAACGUUUUCACAUGUGAGCCCUAAAACUAUAAACCGAAACCCUUUCAUAUGUGAUUCCUGAAGCUGUAAACCAAAACCCUUUCAUAUAUGAUUCCUGAAGCUGUAAACCGAAACCCUUUUCAGAUGUGAUUCCUGAAGCUGUAAACUGAAUCCCUUUUCAUAUGUGAUUUCUAAGGCUGUAAACCUAAGAUUCUUCCACAUGUAAU